AACGAACGCUGGCGGCGUGCUUAACACAUGCAAGUCGAGCGGUAAGGCCCUUUCGGGGGUACACGAGCGGCGAACGGGUGAGUAACACGUGGGUGACCUGCCCUCAGCUCUGGGAUAAGCCUGGGAAACCGGGUCUAAUACCGGAUAUGACUCCAUGACGCAUGUUGUGGGGUGGAAAGCCUUGUGCGGCUGAGGAUGGGCCCGCGGCCUAUCAGCUUGUUGGUGGGGUGAUGGCCUACCAAGGCGACGACGGGUAGCCGGCCUGAGAGGGCGACCGGCCACACUGGGACUGAGACACGGCCCAGACUCCUACGGGAGGCAGCAGUGGGGAAUCUUGCGCAAUGGGCGAAAGCCUGACGCAGCGACGCCGCGUGAGGGAUGACGGCCUCGG
rnacentral:rRNA from 1 species